CCAUCUUAUCAUCUAAUUAUUAUUUUUGUUUCAGACAUUACUUAAUGUUUAUUUGUUGUUGUGCUUAACUUUAAACGCAUAUUAUUCAAUCUCAAGAUAUUCGUCGUUGCAACGUUUGUCAAUGAAUUGCAGUUUAAGUUUAAAGUAGAGUUCAUGAAGUAAUAGAGGAGAGGAUCAAUCGCGAACUAAACCGUACUUUGUGCGCUUGCGCUAGGAAAUCCUGUCAACAGGUCUGAAAGUUGACAUGUGCUGUAAAAUUGAAGGUCGAAAUCCAGUUGUUGUGAGUAAAUGGUGAGUAAAUGUAAACACAACAACUAUGAUGUCUACGCAAUUUAACUGAUUUAAAAUCACUAUAGCACAGACUACUCACUAUUAUAGACUAUAGUCAUGGUGACGAUGUAGAACAAUUGCAUUUAUCAGACGUCGAACAAAGAAUGAUUGCUGCGAAACUCACCCUGGAAGUUCCAACAAAAAGCAUAAUUAAAAGUGUUUGUGAUAAAAUGGCACUGGAUAUGAAAAGAAUCGAUUUAAUCAACAAAGAUGACAUCAGAAAUAUACAAGAUUUCCAUGGAAUUCAUGCAAAAGACGACUGUACACAUCAGGAUGAUUCAGCAAGUGUCCAUUUGUGGGUAUUAGAGUGUCAGGAAACUAAUGAAU
rnacentral:lncRNA from 1 species